UGUCAAGAGUCUUAAGCGUCGUUUUGGUGGGUGGGUUUCUUUUGCCUUUUGAAAGGUGAAAGGAAAUG
rfam:Rhizobiales bacterium 63-22 SCNpilot_cont_500_bf_scaffold_22, whole genome shotgun sequence.